AGAGUCGAUCGGACAGUCGCUGCCUUCGCAAGAAGGGGGAGGAAAGUCCGGGCUCCAUAGGGCAGAGUGCCAGGUAACGCCUGGGAGGCGUGAGCCUACGGAAAGUGCCACAGAAAAUAACCGCCUAAGCGUUUCGGCGCCGGUAAGGGUGAAAAGGUGCG
rnacentral:RNase_P_RNA from 1 species